UGGGGAAUAUUGCACAAUGGGCGAAAGCCUGAUGCAGCGACGCCGCGUGAGGGAUGACGGCCUUCGGGUUGUAAACCUCUUUCAGCAGGGAAGAAGCGAAAGUGACGGUACCUGCAGAAGAAGCGCCGGCUAACUACGUGCCAGCAGCCGCGGUAAUACGUAGGGCGCAAGCGUUGUCCGGAAUUAUUGGGCGUAAAGAGCUCGUAGGCGGUUAGUCGCGUCUGCUGUGAAAACUCGAGGCUCAACCUCGGGCUUGCAGUGGGUACGGGCUGACUAGAGUGCGGUAGGGGUGACUGGAAUUCCUGGUGUAGCGGUGGAAUGCGCAGAUAUCAGGAGGAACACCGAUGGCGAAGGCAGGUCACUGGGCCGCAACUGACGCUGAGGAGCGAAAGCAUGGGGAGCGAACAGGAUUAGAUACCCUGGUAGUCCAUGCCGUAAACGUUGGGCACUAGGUGUGGGUCCAUUCCACGGAUUCCGUGCCGCAGCAAACGCAUUAAGUGUCCCGCCUGGGGAGUACGGCCGCAAGGCUAAAACUUAAAUGAAUUGACGGGGUCAUAGCUGUUUCCU
rnacentral:rRNA from 1 species